GGCUCCGGCACAGCAGGCACUGGCGGCGAGGCACCGAGGCCCGGGCGUCUCUCAGCAGCGCCCGGCGCGGGCUGCGCCGCUGGGGAGAAGGCAGCACUGAGCCUGCUCUGGCAGCGGAGAAUUGCAGGAACUUGCUGUUUUGGUUAUCCUGAGCUGGACUUCUAACGUUGACAUAAGCAGAUGGAAAUGCAGGUUCAACUCUUUUUAACUGUCCCUUGCUUGCUGAAAUACCAUGCAGUACUCCGUGAGGUGGUAUCCGUAAAGCAGACAGGAUUGGAUUGCCUUCUGCUGUUUCAUCAAAAAUCAGAGCUGAGUUUGUGGGAAGGAGUAUUCCCCCAUUGACACUGGUGAGGACUAAAAGGAAUGAUGAUGUUCAGCACCCAUAUAGAUCUCCAUUAGAGAUGGCAUUUCUAGUUUGCCAAAGGGUUUGAACUGUGGCUGUGCGAUGAGUCUGGGUACCAGGACUGAACACUAACUACAUACCAGGAGGCUGGAAGAAGCAGUAGGAAGGACAAAUCUUUUUUUCUUGACUGAGAAGUUUUGGGAGAGUUUCUUAAUUGUGACUUCAGCCCCCAUAUCUCUGAGGUGGUUUUGGGGAUGGAUGGGAAGAGCUAUAUAAGGAUGGUAUCACUUACUGUCUGUGCAAGAUACACAAGAGAGAAACUGAGUCUGCUCUGCCAGAGUCUCGAGCACACACUACAUAAAUUUCUUAUCCUUUGACCUAGCUCUUUCCAUUAUAUAACUGAGCUAUUUCUUCGCCUCAGCCAAAGCAACCCUUGAGACAGUGAUAAACAACCCCUCUGUUCCUAAUAAGUGACAUAUUUCCAGUAGCAACUGAAAGCUGUCCAGCCAAGUUGGGCUGUCUUCUGAAAAGCAGGCUUGAAGCAUAUCGUAAAUAGCAACCCUUCACUUACAGAGCAUGAAGAAAGAAAUCUACUGCACAAAGCAGACUAUGUAGUUACUUUUAUUAUUGUUAGCAUUACUAUUUCUUCAGUUUCACUGUUGUUAUUUUUAAAUGGAAAUAAAAAUAACAUGUACUGGUUCACAGGUCUCCUACCCAGAUGAUUACAAGCAGUGGGUUUUUAAAAUCAAAUAAACAAAGUAUUACACUGUAGCUUAA